GGGACUGUGGCUCAGUGGUGGAGCAUCUGCUGGACAUGCAGAAUGUCCCAGGUUCAAUCCCUGUCAUCUCCA
rnacentral:tRNA from 1 species